CAGUCGUCAGGUGGAGCUUGAAGUAAGAGGCAGAUUCAGGGCUUCUCCUGGAGAUCCUCCAGCUCACCCAGCCUUGGACCAGCAGGUGAGCUGGAGGGCCCAGGGAACAGACUGGGAACCACACCCUGAGGGCUCCGGAGCCCUCACCAAGGCCCUCCACUAGCCAUGGCCCAGGCCUUGAGGAGCGGUGAAUCUCUCUCCCAUCCCUAUCUCUGUGACCUAAUAGCAGUGGCCAUCUGCCUGACCUGUGAGACCUGGUCUCCCCAUUUGGGCCACCUGAGGAGACUGAGGGCCAGCUGGGUUGGGUGCCUGGCUCCCUCAGGGAUGACAGCUGGGAAGACUGGGAACCUGGCCCUGAAGGAGCUGCCAACCGAGAUCCUCCUCCUCUUAGCCAGGACGGGAACGUCGGAGGGUCACUCUGAAGUUAAGUGAAGACAACAACAACAGCUGCAGCCUUUGUUGAGGUCCAGACUGCCAGCCGCUGAGCAGGCCCCAGCCCCGCACUUCAUUCUGUGACUGUUCUUUCUCCAUUGAACCUAUGCAAGCUCCAUUUACACAUCAGCAGCUGUAGCCCACUUUAUCCAGCAUUGUUUUUUUUUUAAUACAUAUAUAUAUAUAUAUAAAGUUGGAGGUCUAUGGAAUUUUUAUAAAGCAAGUCACAUUUUAGAUGCACUAGAUGACCUUGAAACUGCACUAGUUCUACUGCCACAUAACAGAUUACCCCCAAAACUAAGUGGAUAACACAAUAAGGAAUACUUAUUAUCCUCACAAUGCCUGUUUGUCGGGAAUUCAAGUGUGUCUUAUCCAUGCAGUUUCUGCCUGGGGUGAAUCAUGAGGUGACUGUCAUGAUGUCAACUAGACCUGCUUGUCCCUGGGAGGGCCGGCUUCCAAGAUGGCCUGCUCACACGGCAAGCAGGUUGAUGCUCUUGUUGUUCGAGGCCUUACUUUCUCCAAACAUGAGCCUGUCAGGCUACUAAAUGUGCUCACAAUAAGGCCACAAACUACCCUGAGAGUGAGUAUCCAUGAGAGGGAGCCAGGUAAGAGACGUCCUUUUUAUGACUCAACCUCAGAACUCAUGUUCUAUUCUCUAGAAGGCAGGCAAUCACGCAGCUGAGGAGGGAAUUAGUUCCACCUUUUUUUUUUAUUGAGGUAUAGUUGCUGAGAGUAUUAUAUAAGUUUCA